rnacentral:misc_RNA from 1 species
AAGUCGUAACAAGGUAACCGUAGGUGAACCUGCGGUUGGAUCAUUAACAAUCAGAGUCUUUGAGACUCUCUGGAUUUACUCCAGUCAACCCCUGUGAAAUGGAUCGAACAAGUGGGACCGGAAGCCCGGGCAAGACAAUUGUCUAGCCUAGUGGAAAGUCCCCCUAUUAAAACUUUUUAAACUAGACUGAAUCAGAGACAAUGAGAAACAACUUUUGACAACGGAUCUCUUGGCUCUC